rnacentral:rRNA from 1 species
UUCGGCUCCGGCGCAAAGAGAGGCCCAAGUGAGAUUAACUAGUUGGUAAGGUAACGGCUUACCAAGGCGACGAUCUCUAGCUGUUCUGAGAGGAACAUCAGCCACACUGGGACUGAGACACGGCCCACACUCCUACGGGAGGCAGCAUUGGGGAAUAUUGCACAAUGGGGGAAACCCUGAUGCAGCCAUGCCGCGUGUGUGAAGAAGGCCUUCGGGUUGUAAAGCACUUUCAGUUGUGAGGAAAAGUUAGUAGUUAAUACCUGCUAGCCGUGACGUUAACAACAGAAAAAGCACCGGCUAACUCCGUGCCAGCAGCCGCGGUAAUACGGAGGGUGCGAGCGUUAAUCGGAAUUACUGGGCGUAAAGCGCACGCACGCGGUUUGUUAAGCUAGAUGUGAAAGCCCCGGGCUCAACCUGGGAUGGUCAUUUACAACUGGCAGACUAUAGUCUUGGAGAGGGGAGUGGAAUUCCCGGUGUAGCGGUGAAAUGCGUAGAUAUCUGGAGGGAGCAUCAAUGGCCAGGGGCGACUCCCUGGGGCAAGACUGACGCUCAUGUGCGAAAGGUGUGGGUAGCCUAACACGAUUAGAUACCCCUGGUAGACCACACCGUACACGCUGUCUACUAGCUGUGUGUG